UUUAAAGUUUAGGACCACGUUUGC
rnacentral:miRNA from 1 species